rnacentral:rRNA from 1 species
UGUGCCGGCGAUGUUCAUUCAAAUUUCUGCCCUAUCAACUUUCAACCGUAAGGUAGUGGCCUACGGUGGUGGUAACGGGUGACGGAGGAUUAGGGUUCGAUUCCGGAGAGGGAGCCUGAGAAACGGCUACCACAUCCAAGGAAGGCAGCAGGCGCGCAAAUUACCCAAUCCUGAUACAGGGAGGUAGUGACAAUAAAUAACAAUACCGGGGUUUUUCAACUCUGGUAAUUGGAAUGAGUACAAUCUAAAUCCCUUAACGAGGAUCAAUUGGAGGGCAAGUCUGGUGCCAGCAGCCGCGGUAAUUCCAGCUCCAAUAGCGUAUAUUUAAGUUGUUGCAGUUAAAAAGCUCGUAGUUGGAUUUCGGGCGGGGCCUGCCGGUCCGCCUUUGGUGUGCACUGGCAGGGUCCGCCUUGCUGUCGGGGACGGGUUCCUGGGCUUUACUGUCUGGGACUCGGAGUCGACGUGGUUACUUUGAGUAAAUUAGAGUGUUCAAAGCAGGCUUACGCUCUGAAUACAUUAGCAUGGAAUAACGCGAUAGGACUCUGGCCUAUCUUGUUGGUCUGUGGGACCGGAGUAAUGAUUAAGAGGGACAGUCGGGGGCAUUCGUAUUUCAUUGUCAGAGGUGAAAUUCUUGGAUUUAUGAAAGACGAACUACU